GACGAACGCUGGCGGCGCGCUUAACACAUGCAAGUCGAACGGAAAGGCCUGCUUUCCCUUGUGGAUUGCGGGUACUCGAGUGGCGAACGGGUGAGUAACACGUGAGUGAUCUGCCCCCAACUUGGGUAUAAGCCUGGGAAACUGGGUCUAAUUCCCGAUAGGACUGCAGGGUGGUGCCUGUGGUGGAAAACGAUUUUCUAGUGGUUGGGGAUGAGCUCGCGGCCUAUCAGCUUGUUGGUGGGGUAAUGGCCUACCAAGGCGGCGACGGGUAGCCGGCCUGAGAGGGUGGACGGCCACAUUGGGACUGAGAUACGGCCCAGACUCCUACGGGAGGCAGCAGUGGGGAAUAUUGCACAAUGGGCGGAAGCCUGAUGCAGCGACGCCGCGGGGGGGAUGACGGCCUUCGGGUGGUAAACUCCUUUCGACCGCGAGGAAGCCACCUGGUUGGAAGGGUGGUGACGGUAGUGGUAGAAGAAGCACCGGCUAACUACGUG
rnacentral:rRNA from 1 species